rnacentral:lncRNA from 1 species
UCACUAGCAUCCAUUUAACGUAAUCUUCUCUUGUGUUAAGUGGACCAUUUGCAUUUGAGAUGCUGAUAAAAGAAUUAAUGUUAAAUUCUUCAUCAGUGAAAGGUGAAUUAACUCUUUGUAGACAAUCUACUAUAUGAAGUUUGGAUUUGAAUUUGUCUCUGAAGUUUUGUACUGCAUUCUUUUGUCACAUUUGGUUUUACCUGUCUCAAUAUUACUCUAAUGGAAGAUUGAAAUAUUGAGUUUUGACAUUCCCAU